UACAGAGGUCCCAAGCGUUGUUCGGAUUCACUGGGCGUAAAGGGUGCGUAGGCGGUCAGGUAAGUCUGAAGUGAAAGCUCCAUGCUCAACUUGGAAAAUGCUUCAGAUACUAUCUGACUAGAGAGCCGGAGAGGAGGCUGGAAUUCUCGGUGUAGCAGUGAAAUGCGUAGAUAUCGAGAGGAACACCAGUGGCGAAAGCGAGGCCCUGGACGCCUACUGACGCUGAGACGCGAAAGCCAGGGGAGCGAACGGG
rnacentral:rRNA from 1 species